GGGCCGGUGGUCUAGUGGUAUGACAUCGCCUUGACGUGGCGAGGGUCGCAGGUUCGAUCCCUGCUCGGCCCACCA
rnacentral:tRNA from 1 species